GUUUUUUUUGUCGCAUUUUUCCUUUUUGAGUUUCUUCUUUGUUGUGCGCAUUAUUAUUUUGUGAAAAUUUAGAUAAUACAUUUAACGAAAUAAACAAAGCUAUAUACGAUUGGGUAAUAAACAUGAAGUGGAUAAAAAAUACGCGAAAGAAAUGAAGAAUAUGAAAGGAAACAAUUAUAGCAAUUUUAUAUAUGGGACCCAUUUAAGGAAAGGGUUUUUUGCUUUUACGAAGAGCAAAUGCAAAACAAAGCGCGACUUAAACUAUUAAAGACAGUUCAGAAAACUGUAUCACUUGAUUACAAGGACUACAUUUACACCGUAUUGCUCACAUCUGUCAUCUUAAAUAAUUCGUGGACCGUCAUUAAAGGAACCAACAAGCGAAAGAAAUUAUCACUACUAUGACUCGCAGGAAAUUUUUGUACGCACAUGCAGGCGUACGAAUGUGGCAAAACAAAAAAAUGUGUGAUUAUAAAAAAUAUGUAUAAUAAUGUAUAAUAUGUAUAUGUAUAUAUGUAUCAUAUAAAUUCUAAGAGUUACGUUAAUGUAUUUAAAUGUGUUUAAAACAAAAGUAAUGAUGACGUGUUAGCAUUGUAAAACUAGAGUUUAAGCAGAACAAUUGUUUGGAUUAUAAGUUUACGUUUAUUUUCAAUAAAACCACAUACUUA